AGAACGAACGCUGGCGGCAGGCUUAACACAUGCAAGUCGAACGCGUGUAGCAAUACACGAGUGGCGCACGGGUGAGUAACGCGUGGAUAUCUGCCUUUUGGUUCGGAAUAACCCCGGGAAACUGGGGCUAAAUACCGGAUGGUUCCUACGGGAUAAAGAUUUAUCGCCAAAAAGAUGAGUCCGCGUACGAUUAGCUAGUUGGUGAGGUAAUGGCUCACCAAGGCGACGAUCGUUAGCUGGUCUGAGAGGACGAUCAGCCACACUGGGACUGAGACACGGCCCAGACUCCUACGGGAGGCAGCAGUGGGGAAUAUUGGACAAUGGGGGCAACCCUGAUCCAGCCAUGCCGCGUGAGUGAUGAAGGCCUUAGGGUUGUAAAGCUCUUUCGCCCGCGACGAUGAUGACGGUAGCGGGAGAAGAAGCCCGGCUAACUUCGCGCCAGCAGCCGC
rnacentral:rRNA from 1 species